rnacentral:rRNA from 1 species
GAUGAACGCUGGCGGCGUGCCUAAUACAUGCAAGUCGAGCGAACAGAUGAGGAGCUUGCUCCUCUGACGUUAGCGGCGGACGGGUGAGUAACACGUGGAUAACCUACCUAUAAGACUGGGAUAACUUCGGGAAACCGGAGCUAAUACCGGAUAAUAUAUUGAACCGCAUGGUUCAAUAGUGAAAGACGGUUUUGCUGUCACUUAUAGAUGGAUCCGCGCCGCAUUAGCUAGUUGGUAAGGUAACGGCUUACCAAGGCAACGAUGCGUAGCCGACCUGAGGGGCUGAUCGGCCACCCUGGAACUGAGACACGGUCCAGACUCCUACGGGACGCCGCAGUAGGGAAUCUUCCGCAAUAGGCGAGAGCCUGACGGAGCAACGCCGCGUGAGUGAUGACGGUCUUCCGAUCGUAAAACUCUGUUAUUAGGGAAGAACAACUGUGUAAGUAGCUAUGCACGUCUUGACGGUACCUAAUCAGAAAGCCACGGCUAACUACGUG